GGCCCUUCUUGAAUUUAAUUGACCACUUUCGUUGCUUCGAGGAGGUCUGGUGGUCUCCGUAUAUAAUAAAUAAAUAUAUAUAAAUAUUAGAGCUGUCAGUUAAACGCGUUAUUAACGGCGUUAAUGCAAACCAAAUUUAACGGCGUUACAUUUUUUACCGCGCGAUUAAAGGGACUCUUACCUUUGUUGCAUUUUUACACUUUUUUUGGAUAAGGUUAAAUUGGUAUUAAUAAGGUAAUAACACUCUAAUAUGCAAGACAGACCCACCAGGAGUAAAAACAAACAAUUAUUUUACUCUCAUAAUAUUUAGUGAAAACUUCAACCCAUAAAAUUCUUCGGACCGAAUGACCUUAUUGGCCGACAGACCUGUCUGUUUGCUGCAUGGAUAUAUAAGGUUUUCCGUCUGCUUCUUGUGGCGCAUUCGGGCCCGCGUCAUCAAGGCGCGUCCUCAACUAGAGGGUUUGUUUUGAUUCCACGGCAGACAGUAGCGAGUAGCGACCGUAGCGACUGACGAUGGCAGACCAAAGUGGUCCACGGCGUACUGAAACUGCACCAUUCAGUCCGAUUAGGGGACUCAUCUCGGACUCAGACUCACAGAGUUACCCUCCUCUGGAGCCUCAGGAAGACCUCCAGACUGUUGGCCACCAACUGCACCAUUCAGUCCGACAAGGGGACCCGAGUCGGCCUCAGAAGCCAAGUGGUCCCGCUCCCUGGAUGAUUCUCAGGACCUCCAGACCGUUGGCAACCAACCGCACCACUUAGUCCGAUUAGGGGACCCGUUUCGGACUCAGACGCGAAGUUGUCCCGCUACUCUGGAGCUCCGGGAAGACCUCCAGACCGUUGGCACCCAACCGCACCACUCAGUCCGAUUACGGGACCCAUUUCGGACUCAGACGCGACGUUGUCCCGCUACUCUGGAGCUACAGGAAGACCUCCAGACCGUUGGCACCCAACCGCACCAUUCAGUCCGAUUAGGGGACCCAUUUCGGCCUCAGACGCUACGUUGUCCCGCUACUCUGUUUGUAAUGCUCAUACACCUUUCUUAUACUCAGUGGGACCACUGUCCUUCAACAUGGGGCCUCAAAACGGUAUCACACGAAGCCAUAAAAUUACAGUGAGCCACCUGCAAAAUUUCUUGUUUACUAGACCCCUGGUAGAUAUUAUGACCCCUGGGAGUCUAAACAUAACCGAUGGGAGUCUAAACAUAACCCAUGGGAGUCUAGAACUUUUGUACUGUAGCGACCCUGGGACAGUUAAAUAGUUUGUGUGCUAUGUGUUACAUUAUAUUUCGUUGUCUGCUAUGCCAGUUGUUCUAUGUGCAUGUAUUGUAAUGUUCUUCUUGUCAAUCAGCGUGGGGGCGAAUCAUUAGGUCAGCUGGGGGAGGGCCUUGGAAGAACAGGAGGGUGGGGGCCUGCACGCGAGUGAGACCGUGUUGGGGGUUGCCGGGGUAACCGGGGUUUGUUUUGUGUCGGUUUUCUGCCGUUGGUUACAAUGUUACGGGUUUCAGUGACCUGGUUUUGGUUCAUUAAAACUACCUUCAACUACUAAUGACUCGACAUCAUUAUGUCACCGGCGAGGUCGUUACAGUACGUGUAAAAAAUAACGCUUAGUUUUGUACUCUAAAAAAUAACGCUUAGGGGGUGGGGCAUUGGAGGAAGGCGGGAUGAUUUGAAUGUGCUGUAAUUCUCAAAUGCAACAAAGGUGAGAGUCCCUUUAACGCAAUUAUUUUAUAAAAAACAAAAAAAAAACCUUUUUUUUUUUUCUUUGGCUCAAAACAAAGAAGCAGUAGCCUGACUGCUAUGUUCAAAUGACAUUUGUUCAAAGCAGUCGUUUAAUUGCACUAUAGGCUCUUUUUUUGUAUCGUCCUGUUUUGAUCAGUGUAUAUGCCAAUGUUGUUAUCAAUAAAAAAUCAUUUGCACAAGGCAAGCCGAUGCACUUCACCAUGUUGAUAAGAGAAUUAAAAUAAGAAGAAUUAUGGGACAAAAAAAUCAAGGGAUAUUUAGCAUAGAAAAAAAAAUUGAGAUUAAUCGCGAUUAAUUAGAGUUAACUAUGACAUUAAUGCGAUUAAUCACGAUUAAAUAUUUUAAUCGCUUGACAGCUCUAAU
rnacentral:lncRNA from 1 species